rnacentral:rRNA from 1 species
GAAAAGAAACCAACAGGGAUUACCUCAGUAGCGGCGAGUGAAGCGGUAACAGCUCAAAUUUGAAAGCUAGCUCUUUUAGGGUUCGCAUUGUAAUUUGUAGAAGAUGCUUCGGGUGUGGCCCCCGGUCUAAGUUCCUUGGAACAGGACGUCAUAGAGGGUGAGAAUCCCGUAUGUGACUGGGUGCUUUCGCUCAUGUGAAGCUCUUUCGACGAGUCGAGUUGUUUGGGAAUGCAGCUCAAAAUGGGUGGUAAAUUUCAUCUAAAGCUAAAUAUUGGCCAGAGACCGAUAGCGCACAAGUAGAGUGAUCGAAAGAUGAAAAGCACUUUGGAAAGAGAGUUAAACAGUACGUGAAAUUGUUGAAAGGGAAGCGCUUGCAACCAGACUUGCGCGCUGAUGAUCAUCCGGGCUUCUGUCCGGUGCACUCGUCUGCGCUCAGGCCAGCAUCGGUUUCGGUGGUGGGAUAAAGGCCUUGGGAAUGUAGCUUCUUUCGGGGAGUGUUAUAGCCCUCGGUGCAAUGCCGCCUACCGGGACCGAGGACCGCGCUUCGGCUAGGAUGCUGGCGUAAUGGUUGUAAGCGACCCGUCUUGAAACACGGACCAAGGAGUCUAACAUCUAUGCGAGUGUUUGGGUGUCAAACCCAUACGCGUAAUGAAAGUGAACGGAGGUGAGAACCCUUAAGGGUGCAUCAUCGACCGAUCCUGAUGUCUUCGGAUGGAUUUGAGUAAGAGCAUAGCUGUUGGGACCCGAAAGAUGGUGAACUAUGCGUGAAUAGGGUGAAGCCAGAGGAAACUCUGGUGGAGGCUCGCAGCGGUUCUGACGUGCAAAUCGAUCGUCAAAUUUGCGUAUAGGGGCGAAAGACUAAUCGAAACCAU